rnacentral:tRNA from 1 species
AGUGAGGUGCCUGAAGGAAAGGAUAAUCUUGAUGGGAUUAAUUGUGAGUAAAAUUCUCUUGCUG